GGGGCUGUAGCUCAGUUGGUAGAGCGCUUGCCUAGCAUGCACUAGGGUUCGAUCCUCAGCACCA
rnacentral:tRNA from 1 species